CAUUGGAACAUUUUAAAAAUUAUUCACAUGACCUCAGCACCUUAGCAAAAAACUAUUUAGAUAAAUCUUGGCAAUCAUUUUGGAACCAAUCAAAAACCAUUAAAGAAAUGUGACUAACAUCCACACUAACAAAAAAAAAAAAAAAAUCCGCUAUUUAUAGUGUCAAAAUUAAGCUGAUUAAUAAUCAAUUCUUGAUUCCCAGCUUACACCGAUCAACCUCUAAAAGUGUGUCUUCCUUACCCACGCGACAUUGGCGAAGUAAAUUGUACCCAGUUGGUACAGCAGCAAGCCAUAAAAUCAAAAAUUGAAUUGAA